ACGAAUUCCAGUCACUUUCUUUCCUUGGCGACCGAUCAGCUGAAGUGGAUCGCUGAAGUGAGGUGGAAGCGGCAGGCCAACCCCAUCCCUGCACGUGCACCCACUACCGCUCCACUCGUCACGCUCCAGCUGCCGGCCGCGACACGCUCCGCACGCGAUCUCCACUCGCUCCGUCCAUCCGGAUCCCCUUCCUCCCUCCCCAGGUACUUCCGCAGUCCAUCGCCAUCCCCUCUUGUUCGAUUUGAUUUGAUUCCGAAGAAUCCUCCUCGAAUCUUCACUUUCCAUCUCGGCCGGCCGAGAUCUGAAGCAAAGCUCCGAUCUUGCCAGCCAGCCAGCGGCCAUGUCGUCCUCGUCGGACAACCCCAACACGGUCACCGACCGCGGCCUCUUCAGCAAGAGCAGCAAGGACGACGGCGCCGACAAGAAGAAGAAGCAGGAGGAGAAGAAAGAGGAUGGGGAGGAGGGCGGCGGCGGGUUCAUCGACAAGGUCAAGGACUUCAUCCACGACAUCGGGGAGAAGAUCGAGGAGGCGGUGGGGUUCGGCAAGCCCAGCGCCGACGUGGCCCGGAUCCACGUGCCCCACAUCGGCCUCCACCGCGCCGACCUCGUCGUCGACGUGCUCAUCAAGAACCCCAACCCGGUGCCCAUCCCGCUCGUCGACAUCGACUACCUCAUCGACAGCGACGGCCGGAAGCUCGUCGCGGGGCUCAUCCCGGACGCCGGCACCAUCCGCGCGCACGGCGAGGAGACGGUCAAGGUGCCCAUCACGCUCGACUUCGACGACAUCCGGAGCACCUACGCGGACAUCAAGCCGGGCAGCAUCAUCCCCUACCUGCUCCGGGUCAUCUUCCUCGUGGACGUGCCCGUCUUCGGCCGCAUCAAGAUCCCGCUGGACAAGUCCGGGGAGAUCCCCAUCCCGUACAAGCCCGACGUGGACGUGGACAAGAUCAAGUUCCACCACUUCUCCUUCGAGGAGACCACGGCCACCAUCCACCUGAGCCUGGAGAACAAGAACGACUUCGACCUCGGGCUCAACCUGCUCCAGUACGAGAUGUGGCUCGGCGACGACAGCGUGGUGGAGGCGGAGCUCACCGACUCCACCAGGAUCGAGAAGCAGGGGAUCACCAAGAUGCAGAUCCCCUUCACCUUCAGGCCCAAGGACCUGGGAUCUGCCGUCUGGGACAUGAUCAGGGGCAGGGGCACCGGCUACAGCAUCAAGGGCAAGAUCGAUGUCGACACCCCCUUUGGCAACAUGAAGCUGCCCAUCGACAAAGUCGGCGGAACCACUCGCCUCAAGAAGGACGACGACGAUGACGAUGAGUGAAGUGCUGUUACUGAACAUACAAGAUAGUCAAGCAGGGAGCCAGGGAGGAUCCAGCUGAACUCUUUACUCUAGCUUAUGGUAUCUUUGUUGAUGGCAUCAUCCGAACAUCGUCAGCGUUUUUAUGUUUCGGUGCUCAGUGUUCUUUGCGGGAACUCAUCCAGUGUGUAUUCUUUCUGUGUUAACUUUGUCAAGUGGAAACAGACCUGAAAAUAAAUUCCAUCGCCCCUUUCUUGUUUGUGGGGUAUGAUGUUAGCCUUCUUCAUCCAAAAUAUUGUGUCCAUGCCUGCUCUUUUUCCGCACCCAGUCAGCGAAGAUUAAUCUCAU
rnacentral:rRNA from 1 species